AACGAACGCUGGCGGCAUGCCUAACACAUGCAAGUCGAACGAUUGCCUUCGUGUGAUAGUGGCGCACGGGUGCGUAACGCGUGGGAAUCUGCCCUUAGGUUCGGAAUAACAGCUGGAAACGGCUGCUAAUACCGGAUGAUAUCGCGAGAUCAAAGAUUUAUCGCCUGAGGAUGAGCCCGCGUUGGAUUAGGUAGUUGGUGGGGUAAAGGCCUACCAAGCCGACGAUCCAUAGCUGGUCUGAGAGGAUGAUCAGCCACACUGGGACUGAGACACGGCCCAGACUCCUACGGGAGGCAGCAGUGGGGAAUAUUGGAAAAUGGGCGCAAGCCUGAUCCAGCAAUGCCGGGUGAGUGAUGAAGGCCGUAGGGUUGUAAAGCUCUUUUACCAGGGAAGAUAAUGACUGUACCGGGAGAAUAAGCCCCGGCUAACUCCGUG
rnacentral:rRNA from 1 species